UUCACUAAUUUCUUCCGUCCUGUGAACCAGUAAUCCUACUCCCUCAGUAACCAACUAAUCAGUUUGCCCCAACUUUUCAAUCGUUUACAGUUUGUCGCAGCUUCUCAGAUUCCAAAAAAAAAAAAAAAAGAAAAGAAAAGCUAUCCAAAACAAAACCUUGAGUGACAGCAACGCUUGUAGGAAAUGAUACUCUUCUUAUUCUAGGAGUCGAUCUCUAAACAACACACGUACAGCUUUCCAAUGCUCUUGGCUUUACAGCUUCAGGUUUUUCCAGCUUUCCAGUAGGGACAGCGCUGGCAGAAAGUGACGGAGCGAGCGCUGAACACUAGACGAAGCGGACUGCGAAUUUACUCUCGGAGAGCUCAAAAAAAAAGCUCAAUAAAUCUUCCAAGAAGCUGCCUUCUUUGGAAAAUGGUGUCAUGAACUUGAAAGUGAAGCUUCUAGUCAUGUACCAGAACUGUUCAACUUUGGAAGGACCUUACCUGAAGGUAUACAGAAGAGUGACAGGGCUCCAGGCACCAAACUUUAGAGAAUAGAGGAAAAGCAAUUUUCCUUGCCUAUAUUUUCCAGCCACUAAUCCCCUUGCUGGCAUCUACUGUGAAAAUCAGGCUCCACGCCCAGCGUUGGAGUCCAGCGUGGGGCUUGAACUCACGACUCUGACAGCAAGACCCUGAGAUCAAGACCUGAACAGCUGAAAUCAAAAAGUCUGUCACUUAAUUGACUGAGCCCCUCCACCCACCAGGUGCUCCAAAGCCUCUUCCUUACAAAGGCUUUUCCUUGUAAAGGAAAGGAAACAAAUGAAAAUCCAGGGAGGGAUUCAGGAAGAACAUAAAUUACAAAAGAAUAACCUGUUGACCUCAGGAGAAUGAAAAAAGGACAUGCUCCUUGGUGAAAUGGAUGGUGGAAAGGGGGGGUGGAUAGGCCUGUUUCUGGCUAGAUGGGGCUUCAUGAGGUCCUGUGUUGGAGUCACAUUCAAAGAAACAGACCUCCAGGAAAAUAAAAUCAAAUGAAAAGUAA